AUUUAUGUAGUUUAAUCAAAAACAUUACAUUUUCACUGUAAAAAUAAAAGCUAUUUUCAUAAGUU
rnacentral:tRNA from 1 species